CCCUGCAGUAUCAAGAUAAAUUGCAAGAACAUAAUCUAGUGGAGGUAGGUUGGCCACUAUAGAUAUAUUACUGUGAUUACAGCAGCUGCUGCUCUGUGUAGGGUCAGUGCAGAUGAGUAGCUCAGGAGAAAGACAUGGGAGAAGGUGAUUUCCUCUCAUAGGUCACAUGUCCAGGGCCCAGCACACUUCUGCACAUGAACAGUGUGUUUCAGUAUUGUGUUAGUAAGGCUGAAGUCCUGUAGGCUGUCUUCAUAGCUCAAGCUUUCUGAUUGCACUUUCUUCUCCAGCCUCUUUCCAACCACCUCCUAAUUCUAUUAAAAUACAGUGUCCAAAAC